AAGUGUGACUUGUAAAAGAAUAUACAAGUUAAUAUUUUGAAUGGUUUUAAAGCAUUGGAUUGGUAGCUAAUUGCAAGAGUUCACCUCCGACAAACCAUAUACUACUCAAGAAAUUGAUGAAGUUAGAGAAGAAUGGGCAAUGUCAUUUUUACAAUUGGUUAGAGCAAAAUGAAUGAUGUUAUAGCUAGCUAAUUACAAUACAUGUUUAGAAAUUUUAAAUUUAUAUUUCGUAAAAAAUUUUUGCCAUUUUUUUAGUAUUUUCUUUUCAAAUUUCUUUUGAUAGAUAUUCGACACUCA